rnacentral:rRNA from 1 species
UACGGAGGGUGCAAGCGUUAUCCGGAUUUACUGGGUGUAAAGGGCGUGUAGGCGGGUCUGCAAGUCAGAUGUGAAAUUCCCGGGCUUAACUCGGGAGGGUCAUCUGAAACUGCGGAUCUUGAGUACUGGAGAGGAUAGUGGAAUUCCUAGUGUAGCGGUAAAAUGCGUAGAUAUUAGGAGGAACACCAGUGGCGAAGGCGGCUAUCUGGACAGUAACUGACGCUGAGGCGCGAAAGCGUGGGGAG